rnacentral:rRNA from 1 species
AUUGAAGCUUGCUUCAAUUGCCGGCGACCGGCGCACGGGUGAGUAACGCGUAUCCAACCUUCCGUACACUCAGGGAUAGCCUUUCGAAAGAAAGAUUAAUACCUGAUGGUAUGAUGAGAUUGCAUGAUAGCAUCAUUAAAGAUUUAUCGGUGUACGAUGGGGAUGCGUUCCAUUAGGUAGUAGGCGGGGUAACGGCCCACCUAGCCAACGAUGGAUAGGGGUUCUGAGAGGAAGGUCCCCCACAUUGGAACUGAGACACGGUCCAAACUCCUACGGGAGGCAGCAGUGAGGAAUAUUGGUCAAUGGACGAGAGUCUGAACCAGCCAAGUAGCGUGAAGGAUGAAGGUCCUACGGAUUGUAAACUUCUUUUAUAAGGGAAUAAACCCUCCCACGUGUGGGAGCUUGUAUGUACCUUAUGAAUAAGCAUCGGCUAACUCCGUGCCAGCAGCCGCGGUAAUACGGAGGAUGCGAGCGCUAUCCGGAUUUAUUGGGUUUAAAGGGAGCGCAGACGGGUCGUUAAGUCAGCUGUGAAAGUUUGGGGCUCAACCUUAAAAUUGCAGUUGAUACUGGCGUCCUUGAGUGCGGUUGAGGUGUGCGGAAUUCGUGGUGUAGCGGUGAAAUGCUUAGAUAUCACGAAGAACUCCGAUUGCGAAGGCAGCACACUAAUCCGUAACUGACGUUCAUGCUCGAAAGUGUGGGUAUCAAACAGGAUUAGAUACCCUGGUAGUCCACACGGUAAACGAUGGAUACUCGCUGUUGGCGAUAUACUGUCAGCGGCUUAGCGAAAGCGUUAAGUAUCCCAC